AAAAAAAAACAUAAAACAUCUUAGCAACGCCAAACAUUUAAUUGUUUUAAUUUUAGAUGAAAAACACUGAGAUGGAAAACACUGAUUAAGACCACAUACUUUAGGUAGGAAAAGUUUGGAUGACAGAAUUAAAUGCAUAAAACAGACUCAAGACUCACCAAACUGGGAAACUAAAAUUUGCUGUCCUCAGAAAACUUUUAUUAAAGUUGCCUAGCUGGUCCUCACAUAAACCCAAAUUACUGUGUGAGACUUGCAUAACUUGUGCAUUGGUUGUUUGUGACUGAUGUCCUAUGCCAUUUAUGUAAUCAAUACCAUUGUUUACAUGAAUUAACAAACAAAGAACAUUUUAUGUCUCUAAUUAUGUGUGCUGUGCUCUUUCUAAAUUGUCCCCAGCUUUCCUGGGUAUCCAGUGUGUCCGCUCAUAUUUUAGUGGAUUCGAAGUGGUCCAGACCCUCCGCUGAGCUCCUUCGGUGAAGACAGCACUUGGACAACAGUCAUAGCCAAUGGAGGCGAUGGAGCCGGAAUAACAACUUUCUCUAUUAAAUGGUCAUUAUGAAACAAAAAGGAGGCAUCACUCUUUAACAUGGUCCAGAUGAUAGCAGCAUCUCCCCUGCUGGGCUGUUCUGUCGUUCUGCUGGAUAUAAUUCAAUGAUCUGAUCAGUACAAUAACAAUGAUGUGCUCUAUUAUUACUGCUGCCUUUGCCAGUCUGCGGGGGCCAGUUUGUGAGACCCCCUCUACUCUCACUUUCAUUCACACUCACUCUUUUUGUCUUUCCUCCAUAAAAGCAUUAACAUCUGUUAAACAGGUUGUGUGGGUGAGGAUGGAGAGAUGGGAUGUGAGAGCUAUGCGUGAUGCCUGUAUAUUUUUCAACUCUUGAAAUGCACCUCUUCUGCUUUUCUGUCAUACAGGACCAGCAACUAAAAAAACUCUACAUGUACUGUAUCCUGUUAUUAUGGCCGGAGGACAUUCCUUGUCAUUGUUUUCUUAUGCAUGCUGUUGGGCCUGUUGAAGCUGUUGGGAUUCUAGGAGCAGCCUGUCAUUUAACAGUAUCUCUGUGCUGAAGCGGAUUGGACAGAGCAGCUGCCCCGGGCUGAAAUGAGCAUUGCCGUGAGCGACCUCUCGCUGGGUUUC
ensembl:lncRNA